AGUGGAAUUGCUAGGUCAUAGGAUAUAUCUACAUUCAACUUUUUGAGGAACUGCCAAGCUGUUUUCCAAAGUGGAUGCAUCAUUUUACAUUCCCACCAGCAAU
rnacentral:pre_miRNA from 1 species